GACGAACGCUGGCGGCGUGCUUAACACAUGCAAGUCGAACGGUAAGGCCCUUCGGGGUACACGAGUGGCGAACGGGUGAGUAACACGUGGUGAUCUGCCCUGCACUUUGGAUAAGCCUGGGAAACUGGGUCUAAUACCGAAUAGGACUCCGGACUGCAUGGUCUGGGUGGGAAGCUUUUGCGGUGUGGGAUGGGCCCGCGGCCUAUCAGCUUGUUGGUGGGGUGAUGGCCUACCAAGGCGACGACGGGUAGCCGGCCUGAGAGGGUGACCGGCCACACUGGGACUGAGAUACGGCCCAGACUCCUACGGGAGGCAGCAGUGGGGAAUAUUG
rnacentral:rRNA from 1 species